GAGCUAGCUUAAGGUAGUUCAAUCAUCCUUUGAGGACAGUCACAGAGUAAUGUAAAUAUAAUCAUCUUAUGUGGUGGGACCUGUCCAAGCUCAAGAAACUCAGAUGGGUGUCUCCAUGGUGUUCCAUGGUUGGACCAUGACCAUGUGUUGUGAAUACAUGUUGACACAUAUAAAUGUAUAUAUUGUGAAAAGUAGUCUGAGGGCCCCUCUUUAGCCUUAAUGUCCCAGCUAUAGUCUCAAUUGUGCUGAGUUAGAGAACAACUAGUAAAGCUGGUAACUGAUUCCCCUUGUCUUCUUUUGUUUCCAUGAUACAGGUUAAAACCAGGAUGGGGAAAACGUUAAGUAAGCAUGUAGAUCUAGCACAUGCCAUCAUACUGGCUGAGAAUUGAUGCUUGCGUCUACUUGGAGCUAGCACCAGAGUGGAGGCACGCCCCCUGCGAAGGCUGUUGGUGAACCUCCUGUGUGUGACUCUGUCCUGUUUAGGUUGGAGUUUCUUGGAAUGACAAUACAGAAGAUGUGUAACGAGAUUUGUUGUAAGGAAUAUUUAUCCUCCCCUGAAAAACCUCAGGAACUGAGUGAGAAUCAUGCAAGGCAGUGAGCCUCGGAAUCCCUUUUAAAUAUUCUCCAAGUCAGUUAAAGUCAUCUCUUCGUAUUUAUGAGAAGACACCUGUUGAAACAGAAGCCAAAGAUGCUGACACCAGGACUGAGAAACACCCUAUUUGCCGGCGGAAGUAUGCAAACACUCAUCAAAGAAAAUUGAAGUAACCACAUGUGUAUAUAAGUAGACUUCAAAAAAAGAAAAUCAGCAGGUGUCAACAUAAUGAAAAUGGGAUGAGAUCAUCAAACAGACAAAACAAAUGGAUGAUGUGAAUGAUGAAUGAAGGUGACACACGUGUCUUCUACAGAGCCAUAUGGUUAUUAAUGUAGCUAUAGACGUAUUUUAACUACAUUUAUGUAGUUAGAAUAAAAAGGCAAAAUAAAAUUUCUAGAGAAUUUAAAGCAAAAUUAUUAUGUAUUUCAUAGAAAUAAGUUACUUUUUCUGCAUUAUUGUGGUUAAUUUGGUCAUCAUCCAUAAACAGAGGCAUGAACCAUAUCAUACAUUCAGCAGAAUCAUCUAAGUUACUAAUCCUUCAGUCAUUGUGAGGGAAUCUGGAUAUCUCCUUAAAGGUACAGCUUCAUAAAAAAUGACUGUCACUACUCCUGCUUUCCUUAUGUCUUUAUGAAAUGAUUUUGCUAAAAAUAAGUAAUUCUAAAAGUACAAUUAUUGGAAAUAAGAAAUUAAAAGCUGGUCAGUUAUCAAGUAAACUACAUUUGAUUAACAUUACCAUUACUAUCCAAAAAAACCACCAAGAUUUCAGGACCAUUAACCCACACUUAAUAAAAAUAUUAUAAUUGUCCAACCUACUGUACCCUAAAAGUAACUCGCCAACUUAAUUUUCAUUUGGGCUAUCUGACAGAAUGAAUACUUUUUAAAAAAAAUUCAUCCUUUGUUGAGGACAGAAAAAAUGAAGGCAAAAGUCAUGGCUGAUGGAAUCAGUAUAUUAUCAUUAUCGUAAUGGGUAUUUUAAAACACUUAAGUUUCAUGAACCAUUUUAAAUGCCUCAUAUACAUUAUCCAUUUUAAUCCCAAAAUCUAUGUGAUAGGCGAUAUUACUAAUCACAUUUAGCAAAUAAAGAAUCCAGGGCUUAGACAGAUAUGUUCAGUCAUUUGCUGGAAGUUACUUAAGUUGGUAACAGGUUAGAGUAUCUCAGCAUCUGAAACCCAUGUUCUUAAUGACCAUGCAUGUUAGUCGUAAAAGAAGCCAUAGAAAUCACCUUCCCAUUUUACAGGUAAAGAAACUGAAUCCCAGGAUGUUUCAUAAUUUGUCCAAAGCUAAGCAGGAAAACUAAAAUUAAAUUCUAAAUCAAGUAAUUUCUUAGUUUACGGCUAUUUUAAUGUUAUACUGCCUAUAUAAUGACUUAUUUUGAAAGCUCAAUUUUGUCUCAAGAUUUUUAUCUGGAAAAGUAAAUUUAAA